GAUGAACGCUGGCGGCGUGCCUAAUACAUGCAAGUCGAGCGAACAGACGAGGAGCUUGCUCCUCUGACGUUAGCGGCGGACGGGUGAGUAACACGUGGAUAACCUACCUAUAAGACUGGGAUAACUUCGGGAAACCGGAGCUAAUACCGGAUAAUAUAUUGAACCGCAUGGUUCAAUAGUGAAAGACGGUUUUGCUUUCACUUAUAGAUGGAUCCGCGCCGCAUUAGCUAGUUGGUAAGGUAACGGCUUACCAAGGCAACGAUGCGUAGCCGACCUGAGAGGGUGAUCGGCCACACUGGAACUGAGACACGGUCCAGACUCCUACGGGAGGCAGCAGUAGGGAAUCUUACGCAAUGGGCGAAAGCCUGGCGGAGCAACGCCGCGUGAGUGAUGAAGGUGUUCGGAUCGUAAAACUCUGUUAUUAGGGAAGAACAAAUGUGUAAGUAACUAUGCACGUCUUGACGGUACCUAAUCAGAAAGCCACGGCUAACUACGUG
rnacentral:rRNA from 1 species